AAUGAACGUUGGCGGCGUGGAUUAGGCAUGCAAGUCGAGCGAGAACCCAGCAAUGGGGGACAGCGGCGAAAGGGACAGUAAUGUGUAGAUUAUCUGCCCUCGGGUCCGGGAUAGCUGCGGGAAACUGCAGGUAAUACCGGAUAACAUCUCCGGAUCAAAAGGUGUGAUUCCGCCCGAGGAUGAGUCUGCAUCCUAUUAGCUUGUUGGUGGGGUAAUGGCCUACCAAGGCUUUGAUGGGUAGCGGGUGUGAGAGCACGACCCGCGUCAUUGGGACUGAGACACUGCCCAGACACCUACGGUGGCUGCAGUCGAGAAUCUUCGGCAAUGGGCGCAAGCCUGACCGAGCGACGCCGCGUGUGGGAUGAAGGCCU
rnacentral:rRNA from 1 species